rnacentral:lncRNA from 1 species
GCGAAGCAAUCCUAGUUGCCAUCAUUGGGGUGCUGGCAUAGUACUGGUCCUGCAGGUUUCUAACUUGUCAUCCUAGCUGGUAAUGUCUCCUGGUUUUUAUGGAAGGCUUAAUUGGAGAGUGUCUGAUGCCUGAAGGACUUUCCUGGUUGACAACCUUGAAAAUGGUGAAAGAAAGAAAUUGAAACCAGUUCUCUGCUGUCAAAUGGAGAAAAACAAAAACAAGGGUCAGAGAGCUAUUUUUAUUGAAGAUCUCAAGAAGGACCAAGUCAUUCAUCAAGUGGAGCGGAUGUGGUCAGGAAAAAGGACUGGCCAGAGAAAAUCCAUCUGCAGAGCCUCAUCCUUAUUGGUCAUUUUUCCCCAAAAGACAUCCCAGGAUUCCUGUAUCCUCUGAAUGUGACCCAUCGCCACCUUCAUCAUCAGCCUCAUCAUCAUCAAUGUUUACUUAUUUUAACCAAUAGAUACACAAUAUAAAA